GACGAACCGUGCGAACGUUGUUCGGAAUCACUGGGCAUAAAGGGCGCGUAGGCGGCUUAUCAAGUCAGGGGUGAAAUCCGGCAGCUCAACUGUCGAAGUGCCUUUGAUACUGAUGAGCUAGAGGGAGAUAGGGGUAUGCGGAACUUCCGGUGGAGCGGUGAAAUGCGUUGAUAUCGGAAGGAACGCCGGUGGCGAAAGACGGCGUACUGGAUCGUCU
rnacentral:rRNA from 1 species